CGCCUUUUGAUUUAUUAACAUAAAAGGUCCUGCCUGCCCAGUGACACCUGUUCAACGGCCGCGGUAUUAUGACCGUGCAAAGGUAGCGUAAUCACUUGUCCUUUAAAUAAAGACCAGUAUGAACGGCAAGACGAAAGCCUAACUGUCUCUCCAUAUUAGUCAAUGAAAUUGAUCUUUCCGUGCAGAAGCGGAAAUAUUAUUAUAAGACGAGAAGACCCUGUGGAGCUUUAAGUCAAAACUAACUAUUUAAUAUAGCAUAACCAAAGACUUUAGGUUGGGGCGACCACGAGGUAUAAUAAAACCCUCAAGAUAAAACCAUAGAAGGACACUUCAAAUAAACAAGAUAUUGAUAUAUUGACCCAAAAAUUGAUCAACGAACCAAGUUACCCCAGGGAUAACAGCGCAAUCCACUCAAAGAGUCCUUAUCGACGAGCGGGUUUACGACCUCGAUGUUGGAUCAGGACCCCCAAAUAAUGUAACAAUUAUUAAAGGUUCGUUUGUUCAACGAUUAAAGUCCU
rnacentral:rRNA from 1 species